CUUGUGGAGGCGUGCGAGCCGCGAGUGUGUGGCACUGUGUGCGCCGCUCAGACUCAGUAGUGGUUCUGGCACGCUGCGGCACGGACUGCUCUCCGCCACUGUCCCGCCCUCCCCCUCACUGCCUAGCGCGCCCCGCAGUGCCUCCCGGGCAGGGCUGGAGGGACGACGUUGGGGUCCGGUGAGCUGACGAGACCCAGUGACACGGAGAGAGACAGUGAGAGAAAGAAGCAGCGAACGAGAAAAAGCAUUAUUCCGGAACGAGUGAGCAACGGAGGGAGACAGAGAGAGAGAGAGAGGGAGGGCCAAGGUCAGCGGAGAGAGGAGGAAGCACUGAGCGCAUACACUAGCUAGCAUGACGAGAAAGUGAGAGAGGGAGGCUGUGUGUUCUGCCUCACGCACGAUACCUGGACGAACGAAAUGAUUUAGGAGAGACAGAGGGAGAAUCAGGUCACUCUUCCACUCUCUCACUCUCUCUAAUUACUCCUCCUCCUCCUCCUCCACUUCCUCCUCUUCCUCCUCCUGCACGCCUUCUCUCACCUCGCUCCUCACUCACACACAGCACCUCUGGCUACCUGUUACACGAGUGGCUAGGGCGGCGCGGUUCACUAGCCAGGCCUUGACCAACCUUCCCACACCCCCCUGAGGCACGCCAAGGCUCCUCCGUGCCUCCUGGGGCCGACGAAGCAGCAGAGGCAGCAAGAAGAGGAGCGCGCGGCGGUCCUGAGGCCCAUCCUUGUCUUAACACCGCGCCGACGCUCCGACGCUUGACGCCGAUAUCGAAAAGCGAGAGAAAGGUUCUUGGACUCCCGAGACUAAUCCUCCAGCAAAGUUUUCAGUAGAUGUAGAUGCCGGCGUGUGUUACCUGAGAGGUUGGUCACGAGCAUUCUUUUGAUAGAGAAGUGAAAGCGAAAAAUAUAUAUACAUAACAUAUUCAAACUAAAUCCUGCCGUCGUUCCCGCGUGCGGCGCUAAAAAAAAUAAAAUAAAAAAGUGUCUUAAUCAAACGGCAGCCCUCAACCCGUCCUUCCAACGGGCCUAAAUAAAGGAAAGAAGUAAUUAAAACAGUGAAAUUGCUUAAAUAAGACGCAAGAGUAACAUCGGCUGGUGCUUCACGCUCGGCGGACUGUGUUAAUGUGGUGACCUUCGUCUGGCAGGUCACAGUGCCAGGUCACGGUGCCGCGGGUCACAGGCACUGGAGGGUCAGUUCUCAGUGUCGGGGUCAGAGGCGCGCUGGGGCCAUGCGGUGUUAGCGGCGGGGAGGGAGGCAGGAGGCCCCGGCAGGCGCGCGUGUGACCUGUAAUGAGGAGCCGUGACCUGGUACGAGCCUCCAGGUGGUGUCGCAGCAGCGGUGGCGGCGGCGGUGGCGGCCGGGCCCCCCACCUCGCGCCGCCCCCAGCAUGCGGUAGUGCCCUGGGCAUCUCUUCUUAGUCUCCCGCUGUCGACCAGCCGCCAGCAUGACUCCCCAGGUGGCCUUGCUCCUCGCCGUCCUCCUCGCAGGUGCCUAUGUGGGAGAAGCCCGCGGAGGGAAGGCGGGGAAGGGCACGGGAGGAACAGGACAUGGAGGGUUCAAGGGGAUCUCCAACUCUGUUCCCCGGGAGAUGACAUGGGAGGAGAUGCUCCUCGCAGCCCAGCUCACCGCCAUGUGUCUCGGCGCCCUGCUCGCCCUCUGCGUGGUCGCCUGCUGCGCCUACAAGAUAUGUGGCCCCGCGGAGGAGUUAGAGUGGGGCUCUCAGUACUCGGUGCUCAAGAAGUCUCCUCGCCAACCCCCUGAGCUGCUCCGGGAACUGUGAGGACGGCCACCCCCUGCGCCUUCCGCCCCGUCCUCUUCCUCCUUCCUCCUCCCAUCCCCUUCCCCCACCACAACGACCCUCGCCACCACCUCCUUCACUACCCCUGCCUCUUCUACCUCCUCUCCCCCAGCCUCCUCCCCCUCCUGGGUGCUUCACGCGGGGCCCAGCUCCCCUGAGUGACGGUGGGACGUGGCGGGGCGGCGCGGAGGGCGCGGAACCCACUCGCUUGAGACUGCCGAGUGGGUGACGAGUGGCCAAGAUGUUCUCCUGUGAUUGACGCGACGACGAUGGCGCCUACAAGUACUGCUGCCGCCACUACUACAGCUAUUACCACUAUUACGACUAUUACCACUACUACUACCACUACUACUACUCCUACUACUGUUACUACUACUGUUAAUACUAAAUCCAACACUACUUCUAAAUCAAUACCAGCUAUUACUACUACUACUGCUACUAUUACUACUACUACUACUUCUACUACUACUACUACUACUACUACUACUACUACUACUACUACUACUACUACUGUUACGACUUCUUUCACCACUCCUACCUCUAUUGCUGCUUCAACUGCCACUACCACUACAACUAUUACUACUACUACAACUACUACUACUACUACUACUGCUACUACUACUACUACUACCCAAACCCAAGUCACAUCCACAGUUACAUCCUCAACCACAGCUGCAACAAAGCCAAGCAGAAGCAGAGCAACCGUAAACAACGAGCAGGGGACGACGAGGACUCGGGAUCAAGAAGCGACGAUGACUGUCCAGAAGAACCGAUGACCCCCGCAGGUGCUUUCCAUGGGCGGGGUUCGAAAGGUGUGAGUCCUGUCCAGGUGCUUUGAUUCUAAGUCUUUGGAAACCUAGAGGAUUGAGUUCGACAUUUCAAGUGGCAGGAGGAAAAGGAGGAGGAGGAGGAGGCGUGUUUAUCUAUGUGUUUGUUUUGAUGUGCGUGUUUGUGUGUGUGAGAGAGAGACAGACUUCCAAGGCCACUCAGUCAAUGAACGGACGAGGUCGAGGUCUUUGAGAACGUUCGGUAAUUAGACGUGAACGAUUCAGUCAGUUUCCCGUUCUGUGACUUUUUCGAAGACUUGAGUGUGACUGACGCGACUAAAGGCCUGGAAAUGUUGAAGGAACGGAGUGAUGAUACUUUUCUUCCGCUGGUGACGUGACUUUAACAUGAAGGACAAGGGAGGAGAUAUAUCAGAAAGAAGACGUGAAAGAAUGAUACAGAAAAAGAAUAGACAAAAUGAAGAAGCUGGAAUGGAACUGGCGAAGUGAAAAGUGGAGGGAAAUAGAGGAAAAAUACACUGCCAGACUCGCCAAGUUUUUAAUGAAGACCGAAAUAACGGGAAGGAAAAUGAAAAUGGGACGGAAAAUGAGUAAAAAAAUAUAUGUAAAUAGAAGCAGCGUAAAAAAGAGGGGAGAUAAGGGAGGAAAUAUGAAGAAAUAAAAAUGAUAAAGAAGUGAAGGGAUGGGGAAAAUGAGGAAGAAGAGAAGGAAGAAGGGAGAAGUAGGAAGGGAGGAGGAGGAGGAGGAAGAGGAAGAAGAGGAGAAAAUAAGGCCACGAGAGACGCAACGAAAUGAUUUGAAAUGGAGAAAAUUCAUAAUGGCCGCUGUUGACCUCGAAGUGAAAAUAGACGCCGAGAGAGAGAGAGAGAGAGAGAGAGAGAGAGAGAGAGAGAGAGAGAGAGAGAGAGAGAGAGAGAGAGAGACCAUCCACCACAGUAAUUUCCAUUCUCUGCCCGAAACCACUUUAUCUUCCUCCUCCUCCUCUUCCUCCUACACCCUCUCACUUGACCCCCCCCCAAAAAAAAAAAAAAAAAAGGUCACAAAAGAUAAAUAGAACAAAGAUAAAAAAAUAAAUAGCUAAAGACCUCACCUCAUCCCCCCCCUUCACCAACCCUCUCUCUCACACCCGCCACCCAAAAAUGGCACACUGGGAGAGGUAUAGGGGAGGUAGGGGAAGGGGGAGAGAAAGAGAGGGAGAGGCUGGAAGGGAAAGGAAAGGGAACGGAUGGGAACUGAAUGGAAGGGAAGGAAAGGGGAGCCAGAUAAAAUAUACGCAACUGUAUAUCUUUUUUUUUUUUCAGUGGAACUAUUCUUUGGGGAGAGGAAAGGGAGAGCGGAGGCAGGAAGAGAGAGGGGAGGGAGAGGGUCGACGCGCCACUCCCUGCCUCAACUUUAAGCGACGGGCGGGAGAGGAGAGGGAGAGGGAGAGGGAGAGGAGAGGGAGAGGGAGAGGAGAGGGAGAGGUGGCUGUCCUGCAGGGUUGGUGACGUUGAAACUCAGGUGUUUGAUGGGGGACGACACAGCCCACAACAAACACCCAGGGUCUCUCUCUCUCUCUCUCUCUCUCUCUCUCUCUCUCUCUCUCUCUCUCUCUCUCUCUCUCUCUCUCUGUUUAUUAUUUUUAUCCAUCUCUUCCCUUCUUUUUCCCCGCUCUCCUGCCCUUCCUCCUUCCGUGCCUCAGAUCAGCUUAAUGCACGAUACAGUUUGACAGGCAAUGCAAAUAGAGCAGGAAAAAAGAUGUGCUCUCAAGAAUCUUUCUCCUUCUCCGGUUUCCUCAUCUUUCUCCAUCCCGUUUUGCUUCGUGCCAUUUUCUUCCUCGAGUUAUGGCGAAGAAAACGCUCACCACCGCCACCACCUUGCCUCCCCGUCCCUCCUGGCGUGUUUGCCCAGGGCGGCUUAACCCGGCUUCAUCCAUCACGGUAAAAAAUGGACAAACAGACAAACAACCUCCAACAGGGUGGGCGCGAAGAGACACAGAAGCGGCCAGUGCCACAAGAUGCAGUAAAAAACGCUUCACUCAGCCGCGAGGGAAGUUUAAUAACCACAGAAGUGAUGGAAGGGAACAAGAAAAUGGGAGAGCGGAAAGCGAGGGCGAGGGAAAGAAAUAAGGACGGAAGAAAGACUGGUGAGGCGAAGGUAUUGGAGAGAAAACCAAGAACGGGGAAGGAAAGUAGACGUGAGAAUGGUACAAUCAGAACUAAGAGAAAGAAAGACAAAGAAAGGAAACACUGAAAAAAAUAAGGACGGAAGAAAAACUGGUGAGGCAAAGGGAUUGGAGGGAAAACAAAGAACGGCGAAAAGAAAGUAUACGUGCGAGCGAUAAAAUCUGAAGCAGGAGAAAGAAGCAGACAAAGAAAGGAAGCAGUGAAAUAGAGGUGGAGGUAAAAUGUUGUGACCGCGGUGUAGCAACGGAGUGGUGAGACGGGAAGCAAGAAGACAGGAAGCACCUCAGCUCAGAACAUAAGCUCCUUCCUUUCCUCCCUCUCUUCCUCCCUGGCUUAACACUCCCCGACCUCACACUGACACAAAGAGGGCUCUGUAACGCUAUAGAAAGUAAAGAAAGACAACAAAAAACAGUGAGAAGUUGGAAACAUUAUUAGGUUGUCUUUGGUUGUAGGAGAAUGACUGUGUGUCUGUCUAACUACUGGGCGAGCUCGCUUUCUGGUUACCUGGAUUUCGGGGAGCUGCCCGUCACGCUUCCUGGCCUGCUAAUUAAGCUGUCCGUCUAACUAGCUGCAAGGUCAGAAGUAGGAGGAACAGCAGGAGAAACAAACAGCAGCAGGGACAAACGUCACAUCUACCACCACCAUUACCUCCGCCACCACCAGCACAACAGACCGAGAUGAAGAAAAUUCAAGGGGUGGAACAUUUAGCUCCUCCCCGCAACCCCUUGAUUCCGCGGGUGGUGGCUCGAUGCUGUUCGCCGCGAGAUGGACACGUUGAGAUAUUGGCGACCUCGAGGUGGGGAGCGUGAGCGUGUUGUAGUGUGUGGCAGCUGCGGCUUGAUGGCUCGGCGGGCGGGCUGGCUGGCUGGCCGACCCCUGGAGCUUUUCAAGAGGACCUUGCUAAACAAGUCUUCGAGCGACGCUGCACUUAUGUAUACCGACCGCCCGUGUGUUCGUGUGUGUGUGUGCGUGUGUGUGUGUGUGUGUGUGUGUGUGUGUGUGUGUGUGUGUGUGUGUGUGUGUGGUGCAGCCCUUGUGUAGGCAUAUGCAGACGCUAUUACUUGACGGCGAGAAGUUUGCGGAGGCUGGUGAAGUGAGACCCUGUGAAUGAAAGGCCAAAAGGACGAGGUGCUGGUUUGAAUGCAAACAUGAGGAGGAAGAGGAAGAGAAAGAAGAGGAGGAGGAGGAGGAAAAGGCUGAAGAAGAGGCGGAGAAGGAAAAGGAUGUGGUUGUCAGACCUACGACGUUCAGACUCCAUCAAUCUAGUUCCUCCCUUUUCCUCGUCCCUCUCACCCGAUCCUCCUCUUCCCUCUCUUCCCACUCUUCCUGACAGGCGUUGGGGCCGUGGGUUGCGGGAUGAGAGCGGACAGAAGCAAACAAGAGGGAAAUAACAUCAACAAUAACAGCAACAAGAGCAACAUCAGCAACAAUGGAGAGUGAAGGCCAUGUCCCGCUGCCCGACACACGCCCGGAGAAGAGAACAUUUCCAUUUGCAAACCGUGUGUGUGCGCGUGUGUGUGUGUGUGUGUGUGUGUGUGUGUGUGUAUGGCUGGCUGGCUUGGUGGUGGCGGUGAGGGAAGGGGUAUGGAAGGACGGUGGCUGGAGGGAGAGGGUGGGGACAGGUGGUGCUCUCUGAGAACAAAGCGCAAUAAACAUUCUAACAAGAGUUCAUUAUUCCCCCGUGGGCGAUGCGAUGCUCCCCUGUUUUCCCAGCUCGGCGGCCAUGUUUGUUUUUGUCCCUGGCGUCGCUUCCUGUUGCUCCCCCCGUCACCUCUCGUCACCUUCCCGCCGCGCCGGUCGGUCACCUGCGCGAAUUUAUGCAGAUUUCUGAAGCGUCGUAAAUAUUCAUGGAGGUAAUAUUUGUUCAAGGCCAAAUCAUAUAAACCUCGUAAUUAAUCCAGUGCGAGAUUAAUUCCAACGGAAAACCAAUACAUAUAUAAAAAUUAAAUUUCAGUCAGCGUUCCCGGGACAAUCUUCCGUUCCGACAGCUAGAGAGAGAGGCGAUUGCUGUGCUUCCAUCGCUUAUUGAUAUUGCAUUCGCUUCCGUUACUGGAGCUAAAAACACGCGCACACACGCACACGCACACACACACACACACACACACACACACACACACACACUCAACACCGCCCAGCACCGCGUAAUCCAUUCCAAAACGACAAAUAAACGAAACAAAGAUAAACACGAAACAAAAACAGAUGAAUGGUCAUGAACGCUUUCCACUUUUUGUUUAAUUAAAAUGAACUCGAAAUUGAAUCAGAGAAGCUGCGAUGAAGUGGACGAGACAUAAUCUUUAAUUGUCACAUUGAUUAGUUACUGACCUAGACUUAUUAAAGCUUACAACAUUGAUGCAGAUGAAUAGAGGCUUGAUUUUUUUCGGAAUCGAUAUCUCGUUUCUUCAUUAAUUCCUCUUUCGUUCUUUAUUGAGUCCUUUACUUAUCUUGUACACUCCUUCUCGCCCAUCUUUUUUUUUAUUCCUAUGGUGUCUUUCUUUAUUCCUCUUUUCAUCCUUUCAUCCUUUUUAUCCUUGUAUUCACACCUCUUGUCAUUCUGGAGGAUUUUUGUUUCUUUUCUUUAUUAUCACAACUCCUAACCCUUCUCCUAUAUUCUGGUGUCUUUCCUUAUUCCUCUAUGUCAAUCCAUUUUCUUCCUCUUUUCCUUGUUUCAUUAAUCAUUCCUUUUCACACCCAUAAAUCAGUCUUUCCCGAUCACCUCCUUCCACGUUUAUUUUUUGCAUUACUUUCUUCAUAUUCCUCUUUGUCAUUUCUUUUCCUUCUUUCUUCUGUCUUUCUCCUCCAUCAUAAUCUUGCUUCGCCACGGAAUAAUCAGGUUAAGAGCCGCAAGAUUCCCCCUCAAGCCAUCCCCUCAAACUUUCCCUUGUCCUUACUUCCUACCUCUCCACUCCCUCCUCCCGCCUCCCUCUCUCCUUCCCUCCCUCCCUCCCCAACCACACUUCAUUAGGCCCACACACCUCAGGAAAAUGCUGAAUCCGUUUUUCCUCCUCCUCCUCCCCCUCCUCUUCUCUCUCCUACUGUCCUUCUUCCAGGCCACAAGUUCAUGUAUCCAUAAAUUCAAGAUAAAAUAUUCCGACAUUCUGUUUCCUCCUCUUACACUUGCUAAUACAUCUCUCUCUCUCUCUCUCUCUCUCUCUCUCUCUCUCUCUCUCUCUCUCUCUCUCUCUCUCUCUCUCUCUCUCUCUCUCUCUCUCUCUCUCUCUCUCUCUCUCUCUCUCUCUCUCUCUCUCUCUCUCUCUCUCUCUCAUACAAUCUAUCUAUCUCAUUUGUGAAGACUCUCUCUCGACUGUGAUUUUAGACGAGAUUAAAGACCUUUUAGUGCAGAUUUCCCUUUGAAACAUCGCAUGAGUAAACUUAAAAGCCGGAGGGAGCGUAAGAAGACAGAAAAAGAAGGUGAAGGGGGCGGAGCAUGAAAAGGAAGUGACGUCACCGAUGUCAACAAAAGUCCGCUAUGAUGACGUAUUCCUCCGCCGUUUGGUCGGAUCCUGCUCCCUUGCUUUCGUAUCUAUGUAAUCCUGUCGACGCAUCCCUAUGCCAUACCCUGCCAGUAUAUAUCAUAGCGUAAGGCUUCUUGUGAACUAGUAACGCCGUCAGUAAUGUAGUUGUUGUUAAAUGUAAGGUAUUUAUAGUGCGUAGGGAUAUGGGACGCGUGACGCUCAUACGCAACAAUUCUUACUGCGUGCCAAAGAAAGUAGUUCCAUGAUGAGUGUUCGUUCAGUUAGGUUAUGGACGUUCUUGAGGUAACGGACGCUUUUACUUAGAGCUUGUACGCGACUGACAGUACAGUGGAUGCUUUGGAAUGGCAAGUUUUAUCGUACUGAACUAAUCAAACCCUCAGCAUUAUAGGCAGCUAAAGUGUUUGAUCAUGAACUUGGAACGGCUAAGUUAUAAGAAGUAGUGUCAUGUGCGUCGUCAGUGUGUUUUGGAGAGUGCGAAAUAAUGAAAGAAAAAUAGUACGAAGUAAUGUUACGUGCGUAUUCAUUGUGUUUUAGAAAAAAGCGACGUAACGAAAGGAAAGUAAGAGACAAAGAACCAUGCAAAAUAAGUUCUUUAGAGAGGUGGAGGUCGAGGCGAGGAGCUAGAGCCCACGCUGCGCACUGGGUGUCGGCUUUCGUCUCUGGAGCCCCACUCUGACCUCAACGCACAUGAUAUAAUGCAGGACAGAACUUUAAGCUCAGGGGUACAACUCUAAGACAUGUUAACCGCAGUGCGAUGGAAGACAUACGUAAGACACAUUCAGCGGUGUAGAAUCUGGCGUGUUGUGACGAUUAUCUUCUGCUCAUAUAAUAACAAUCUUCGAGUGCCGUGGAAGAUCGUAUUACAAAGAGGAAAAACACUAUCGUAGGUUUAGAAAGACAACAUUUUAUCGUUUCUAGUCUUGUUCUGCGCAGAUGAAACUCAGUAGCUACAGUGCGCAUGGAAAUUAGUGAAGUACUGUGCAGCGAAGCAGACAAGCAGGUAGUAGGGCUUGUUACCCGGGGCUAAACUUGUAGCUCUAGAACCAAAAGUGAGGCUCAAAGGUGCGGUAGUCACCCCUCAGUGUGUGUGUGUGUGUGUGUGUGUGUGUGUGUGUGUGUGUGGUCAGUUAGUUGUUCGUGUUCAUGUUACUUUGGUGGUCAAGUUGAUCCACGAGUUAUCAAUCCUUUUUGAGUUUAUCUGUUUACAAUAUAUUUUGACUUUUUUUCUGUCUUUUAGUGCAGUUUCUGUAUGUAUGAUUUCAAUGGAGUUUAUAUUUUCUUCUCAGGAAUUAAUUUUUGGAGUGUUUUCUCUCAUCUUAUUAUGAUAAUCUAAUUACCAAUUUCCACUUUUGUCGAACUGAUGUUUGUUCUCUAAAGCACGAAAGAGUAGAACAGUUUUGUUACUUCAAUUAUUUUCAGCUUAGUAAUGAGUGGAUUAUUAUAAUGAGGAUAUUCAACUUUUUCAAGCACGGUGCAUUCACCCACUACAGUUUCUGCUCACUUGGUUUUUGUUUUAAGGUAUACUGAUUUCAUCGUUCAUCAACUUUUUCUACUUUCAGUGACGUUAGGUGGUUUUAGUUUCCCAUUACUUCUAUGAGACCGGAGUGUUCAUUCGUGUAUAAUGUAUAACAAUUAUGACAUCCAUUGCGCCUCUUCCAUUGUUUGCUUAGUAACCCUAUACGGGAUGUUUGUUCGUGUUCGCUGGGUCACCGUCACCGUGUUCACCGCUGUCUGACGUUACUGAUGAGGAAGUGACGCGCUUGCUGCUUC